GAAAUAGUUUAGUCAGUAGAGCAUGAGACUCUUAAUCUCAGGGUCCUGAGUCCCAGCCCCACGUUGAGCA
rnacentral:tRNA from 1 species